GACGAACGCUGGCGGUGUGCUUAACACAUGCAAGUCGAACGGUAAGGCCCUUUCGGGGGUACACGAGUGGCGAACGGGUGAGUAACACGUGAGUAACCUGCCCUCAUCUCUGGGAUAACAGUCGGAAACGGUUGCUAAUACUGGAUAUGAGCUUGCAAGGCAUCUUGUGGGUUGGAAAGAUUUUUUUGGUUGGGGAUGGACUCGCGGCCUAUCAGCUUGUUGGUGAGGUAGUGGCUCACCAAGGCUUCGACGGGUAGCCGGCCUGAGAGGGCGACCGGCCACAUUGGGACUGAGAUACGGCCCAAACUCCUACGGGAGGCAGCAGUGGGGAAUAUUGCACAAUGGACGGAAGUCUGAUGCAGCAACGCCGCGGGCGGGAGGACGGCCUUCGGGUUGUAAACCGCUUUCAAUUGUGACGAAGCUUUUUGUGACGGUAGCAGUAGAAGAAGCACCGGCUAACUACGUG
rnacentral:rRNA from 1 species